GGGUCAACUCAGGUUAGCUAUCAAAUCUCAUUGUUAUUCAAAUGAUAAACUAAACUGUUCAUAACCUAAACUGUUCAUAACCUAAUAUUUUAAGAAACAUUAUUUUACGAUGUUUAUACUAUUUGGAAAUACUGUAUUCCUUAUGUAUUUUGGAAGCUUUUUAAAACAUGAAUUUAAACCGACAUUCCUGAGGUCCUACAAAGCAGCAGCCAUCUGCGACGGAGGUGAGAAUUGUGCAAGUGAUAAACAAGUUAAUUGGGGCAAAAUACAUUGCCAUCGCCAGAACGUGGGUUCCCACGAUGGUUGGUUGAGGAUCAGUGGGCGGAGUUGCCCUCCAUGGAUUGGAGGCUGAUCUUGGAUUGUGUCCCCUAAAUCAACAGAAAGUUCAAGGACAACUAGUCACCUCUGGCUCAAAAUUGACUACAACUUGGGGAAGGGAAUGGUGGAAUGCUUGCUCUUUCUGCGUUGCGAAAGUGUGAUGCCCUGACACACCUAUCAUUCAGGGCUUGUAGAUGUUUUCCCAAAGGGAUGUCUAGUUAGAUUGAAUGCUGUUUUGUUCCAAUGUUAUUUAAUGUGAAUAAAUAUUUAAUUUACUUACUGUCUGUGAAAUUAUUCUACACAUUGCCAAUCAUUCCAAAUAUGUUAAUGCAAUGUUACCAGUGUGUGAAAUUGUUAUUUUGAGAAAAGGCUCUCAAAACGUUGGUUCUUAAUGCAUAAAGUAUUUGAAAUCAAAUGUUAUUGGUCACAUACACAUGGUUAGCAGAUUUUAAUGUGAGUGUAGUGAAAUGCUUGUGCUUCUAGUUCCGAUCUAACAAGUAAUCUAACAAUUCCCCAAUGACCAAGACAUUUGAUGUGGGGGAAAAAAGCUUUAAAUACAGUAUGUUUUUCUUUUGUCUAAUAUUAGUUAACAUAAAUACAGCACCAAAUAAGUUAAUAGUGUUUUUUUAAUAGUAUUUCAUGCAAAUAAAUAGAUUUAAGUCAUUAGUUCGGUUACCAUCCAAUUGGUGACAGAUUUCCAUGUGAAUAUGCUAAAAUCAGAAUAAAAACUAUAUGCACAUUUUCCCACCAGAGAUGUUGUGCGUGAUGAGGAACUGUACGUAAACAAGUACUUUGUGGUUAAAUUCCAAUUGACCGGAUAAAAAAAACUAGUUUAAUGGGUUUCUAUUGCAUUUUCAACUCAACUGAUGGUUUUCUCACCAAUACAUGUGGGUUAUAUAGUGAGUGUUUAAUUUUUGUUGUUGUUGUUUUAACCAGGUAGGCUAGUUGAGAACAAGUUCUCAUUUACAACUGAGACCUGGCCAAGAUAAAGCAAAGCAGUGGAACACAAACAACAACACAGAGUUACUCAUGGAAUAAACAAGCGUAAAGUCAAUAACACAAUACGGUGUGUGCAUAAAUAUACGGUGUGUGCAUACGGUGUCUAUAUACGGUGUGUGCAGAUGGCAUGAGGAGGUAAGGCAAUAAAUAGGCCAUAGUAGCGAAGUAAUUACAGUUUAGCAAAUUAACACUGGAGUGAUAGAUGAGCAGAUGAUGAUGUGCAAGUAGAAAUACUGGUGUGUAAAAGAGCAGAAAAGUAAAUAAAAACAAUAUGGGGAUGAGGUAGGUAGAUUGGGUGGGCUAUUUACAGAUGGACUAUGUACAGCUGCGGCAAUCGGUUAGCUGCUCAGAUAGCUGAUGUUUAAAGUUAGUGAGGGAAAUAUAAGUCUCCAGCUUCAGCGAUUUUUGCAAUUCGCUCCAGAGUGUGCCCACUCUAGUAUUAGCACCUGUGCUCUGGCCAACAGCUUGCAGAUACAGUGCGGGUUUAGCCUACAUGAGAUUUUGUAUUUGUCAAACGGCAGUCAAGCAUCGUUCAUGUCACCAGAAUAGGACCUUCAACAUUUAUUGGAAAGGAGCAUCAAGCUCAUACUGUACGUUUUCACCACCCUGUGAAGUUAUUAUAUCUGUAGCCUAAUAAACUGCAUGGUUCUCCUGAAUCGUAGUGGGAGGACCAUACACCAUC